GCAACUACUGUGACAGAGGGGGAGGGCCUUAGUUUGCCAGCCUACCAUAACCUGAGUGAGUUGGAUUGGGCCAACGUGACUGAGUUUACCUGGUACAGAAACGGAACCCAGGAGCUCCCGUCCUCUGAGGAAGGGCGUGUGCAUCAUCAUGGGCCGGUGCUCUUCUUCCUCCCCCUUUUAAUCAACGACUCUGAUCAGUACUACACCUACUGGAGAAAGGCAGCAAACACCUGCGUCAUAUUUGUGACAAAGGUGAUUGUGGUCAAAGCCCAACCGUUCGAUCACUCAGUCCUGUUCAGUGAUAUCUCAGAUUCAGCAAACAAAAUCCGUAUCCCAUGUCCUGACCCCGUGGAACAACUGUGCCAGGAUGGAAAAGAAAACUUAGCCUGGUAUAAGGUACUGAACAUGACCAGAAUGCUAACACAAACCUCAAUCCUGCAAAACUAUUUACCAUUGGUUCUCAACUCCUGUCCUAAAGCUCAUAAGUGUUGCACAGUUUUUGUUCUAGCCCAGCACUAACACCCAACUCAUCAUCAAGCUCUUGAUUAGUGGAAUCAGGUAUCUUACUGCUAGUUCAGCAAAGAAGUUUGUCAAAUUGUUUGUCUUUCAUUUCAGAAUUUCAGUCUCAUUCCAAACGAGUCUGAGAGUAAUCUGUGGGUAAAUGGCACCUCAAAAGCAGACGAGGGCAUCUAUACGUGUGUGUGCACGUGGGAUCACAACGGGAGGGUUCUCAACACUUCUGCAUCCAGGAGACUAAAGAUCCAAGCUCCCUCUGCCUCGCAUCCUCCUCAGAUCAACCUGCCUAGAGACGGAAGCACAGAGACCACUGACCUGUGUAGGGAUCACACCUGGC